rnacentral:tRNA from 1 species
GCCUCGUUAGCGCAGUAGGCAAGCGCGUCAUUCUCAUAAUCAAAUCUAGAAAUCUGAAGGUCGUGAGUUCGAUCCUCACACGGGGCA